rnacentral:SRP_RNA from 1 species
UGCCAGGGCCCGCGCGGUAUUGCGCGGCUGAACCCCGCCAGGCCCGGAAGGGAGCAACGGUGUGUCGAUUGCAAUAGGCGCCGCGGUCACCCUGGUUUUU